CCCUUAGAUGGUCUGGGCCGCACGCGCGCUACACUGAUGCAUUCAACGAGUUUCUUCCUGGUCCGAGAGGAAUGGGUAACCUUUUGAAAGUGCAUCGUGAUAGGGAUAGACUAUUGCAAUUAUUGGUCUUCAACGAGGAAUUCCUAGUAGACGUAGUUCAUCAGACUGCAUCGAUUACGUCCCUGCCCUUUGUACACACCGCCCGUCGCUCCUACCGAUUGAAUGCUCAGGUGAGCCAUUCGGACUUUCAUCAUGCUGGUUUCCAGUUUUGAUGAAGGAAAGUCUUGCGAACCUUAUCAUUUAGAGGAAGGAGAAGUCGUAACA
rnacentral:rRNA from 1 species